rnacentral:rRNA from 1 species
AUGGCGGCGGCCAAGAUCGCCAUCCUCCUGGUCGCGGCCGCGCUCUUGGCCGCGGCAGGGGCGGCGGACCCCCAACCCCCGCAGCUCUCAACGGAAGCCCAGUGCUGGCCGUGCUACUCCUCCUGCAUGCACACGUGCGACGACGGCCACGGUGGCACCCCCGCCCCCGAUGUCGUCAACUCUACCGAUGGCAGUGCAGUUGGUGUACGCUCCGCCGUCGGCACUCUCGCUGCCAUCCACAAAACCGAGGAUGGUUCAGGCGCCCCCAUUGCCGACGGCUACGACGAGAAAGGUGGCAACAAAGGUGACGGCGAGGAAUACUUCGAGUGCAAGAAGAAGUGCAUCGUCUGUUGCUACAAGGACCUGCCGCCGGUGUGCUACAAGAUGUGCGUCUCCCAGACCUGCCUCGCCCUGCCACCAUGUAAACGAGGGGAUUGCUACAAAGCAUGCGGGAUCAAAUGCUUCCACAACCAGCCGACGCCCACACCUCCUAAGCCCAUGCCACCGCCGCCAUCACCCCCGAAGCCCAUGCCACCGCGGCCGUCGCCCAUUCCACCGAAGCCAUCCCCGCCGAAAGCCGCUGCCAAAGCCACUGGCUACUAG